rnacentral:tRNA from 1 species
GGGAGUAUUGCUCAGUGGUAGAGGGCAUGCUUGGCAUGUGCAAGGUCCUGGGUUCAAUCCCCAGUACUUCCA